CCUACGGGUGGCAGCAGUGAGGAAUAUUGGUCAAUGGACGAGAGUCUGAACCAGCCAAGUAGCGUGAAGGAUGACUGCCCUAUGGGUUGUAAACUUCUUUUAUAUGGGAAUAAAACGUUCCACGUGUGGGAUUUUGUAUGUACCAUAUGAAUAAGGAUCGGCUAACUCCGUUCCAGCAGCCGCGGUAAUACGGAGUAUCCGAGCGUUAUCCGGAUUUAUUGGGUUUAAAGGGAGCGUAGGUGGAUUGUUAAGUCAGUUGUGAAAGUUUGCGGCUCAACCGUAAAAUUGCAGUUGAAACUGGCAGUCUUGAGUACAGUAGAGGUGGGCGGAAUUCGUGGUGUAGCGGUGAAAUGCGUAGAUAUCACGAAGAACUCCGAUUGCGAAGGCAGUUCACUGGACUGCAACUGACACUGAGGCUCGAAAGUGUGGGUAUCAAACAGGAUUAGAUACCCCGUAGUC
rnacentral:rRNA from 1 species